GACGUUUACCUACAGAAGAAGCACCGGCUAACUCCGUGCCAGCAGCCGCGGUAAUACGGAGGGUGCGAGCGUUAAUCGGAAUUACUGGGCGUAAAGCGCAUGCAGGCGGCCUGUUAAGUCAGAUGUGAAAGCCCGGGGCUUAACCUCGGAAUUGCAUUUGAAACUGGCAGGCUAGAGUCUUGUAGAGGGGGUAGAAUUUCAGGUGUAGCGGUGAAAAUGCGUAGAGAUCUGAAGGAAUACCGGUGGCGAAGGCGGCCCCCUGGACAGAUACUGACACUCAGAUGCGAAAGCGUGGGGAGCAAACAGGAUUAGAUACCCUGGUAG
rnacentral:rRNA from 1 species